rnacentral:lncRNA from 9 species
GCCCCUUUUGAAGCACAGCAAGAGGAGGCCGGCUGGGUGAGCCUGGCUGUCGGGAGAGAAACACGCAAGCCCAGCGCCGGCAGUUGCGCUUUCCCGGAGGCACCUUGGGCCAGGCGCUCGGGGCUCCCCGAGGCCCGCACUCUGCCGGCGAGCCCCGGGCCUCCCCGGGUGGGCACAGACUUUGUGCGCCCCGGCUGCACCGCGUCCCGCCGCCCAGCGCCACCCUCGCCGUUCGCUUGCUGAGCCUGCUGCUGCUCUGCCUUGGCCCUCCCGGCCCGCGCCCGCCGCGGCUUCCAGCUGCCCUGAGUGGAGACUGCUGAGCGAUGGCCGCCGCACGGAGCUGGCCCAGGUCAUCCUGACGAGGUACUGGCGCUGCACCAGUAGGGGCACGGCCUUCACAGCUACCUGCUCGGGCGGAAGGGGGCCAGCGACGCGGGCCUCUCCUGCGCCGCCGAGAUCCAGAUGCCCAGCGACCAGGCUUGGGCGUCAUGCUCCAGGUGCCCCGGGUUUCAGGCUCAACCUCAGCGGCCUGGGUUAUUUCUCUUGCCACUGCCACCGUGGUCCAGGAUUACUCCUAUCUCUUCUUCCUCAGGAUGGAUGAAAAUUAUAACCUCUUACCUCAUGGAGUUAAUUUCCAAGGUGCCAUCUUCUGAGACACUCAAGAGAACAGAAGGUUUUCUAGCUCGUUCCAGUUUUCAAAUCGUUCCCAAGGGCAGCAACUGGUGACUUUUUCCAAUGACUGGGAGAUCCAAGAAGAAAAUAGGGGAAAUAUUCUGUAUACAGCUGUAGAUUUGGUGUGUCCCUGGCAGGAGGUGUGCUCAGGAUCCUUUUAUGUCACCGUCUUAAACUGGACCCUGUCUCUUUUUGGAAACAUUGGUUGAGAUCCUUUUCUUGAGAGAAGCUGGAGGCAGCUCAUAGACCACUGCAGGGUCUACAGCCAGGACUGCUCUCUGUCAACAGAGAAACAUGAGGGGCACAUGUGCUCCUUGGUGCAGAAGGCCCUGUUUGAGGAGGAGGACCACAUCCAGAAGCUGCAGCAGAAGGUGGCCACCCUGGAGAAGGGGAACAAGCAGGUGUGAGAUCCAGUGAAGAAGGUCAAGGAGGUCCCAAGUGCACAAGAACGGCUGCCGCCUGGAGCUGCUAAACUGAAAGAGAAGCUGCCAGAUACAUCAAAAAUACAUCUAGAUGUGGAACAAUUCUCACGGAACACCUACUGCGCGCUGGCAGGUAAAAGGACCAACGUUGUAGGACACAGCCCCAUAUACCCAGCUCCUGAGGAGGAAUACUCAAGUUUUGCUCUUCUCCCAGAAGUGCUCCAGUCCCACCUACCUCACACCAGAAAUGGCUCAGAAAUGGCUUCUCCUCCAAUAACUGGGGAACAAACAGACUCUGACAACCACAGAGCAAAGAGGCCCUGCACAACAUCCAGAGCAGGCUCUGGUUACCACAACACCAGUCACACACUAUCAAGGGGAUAACAGCCAGCACAGACUGAGGAAAGAUGUGGGAUGCAUCCAUACUAAAAACAGGCAUCACACCAAAAAUAUUAGACUCGUGUAGGCUAUACAGGGAUGCUCCCAUAUAUAAACAUCCCUCCAAGACCACAAAAUAGCUCUUUGUCCUAAACUCAUAGAGUCAGAGAAAUAGAAGUAAAAAGCAGAAGAACCACUCCCAAUGAAAAGAUCAAGAGAAAACCCCUGAAAGAACAAACAGUGAAAAAGACCUCUCCAGUCUACAAGACCCUGAGUUCAGAAAGGCGGUAAUAAAAGUACUAAAUGGAUUAGGAAAGACUGUUGAUAGAAAUACAGGUUAUUGAAAAAAGGAACCAGAAACUGUAAGGAGGAGCCAACUAGAAAACUCAUUUGCUGAAAUAGAAGCUGAGCUAAGUGCAAUGCAUAGCAAACUGAAUAAUGCAGAAGCACAAAUAAGUGAUCUGGAAUUUUGAAUAAUGAAAAUCACCCAAUCGGAACAGUAGAAAAACAAAACAAAACAAAAAAAGAGCAAUAUACCAGACCUAUGGAAUAAUAUAGAAUGUACCAAUCUAUGCAUAAUCGGGAUCCCAGAGGAGAGGAAAGAAAAAAAGAGGAUUGAAAAUAUAUUUGAAGAAAUUAGGGCUUAAAAUUUCCCAACCUAAUAAAGGAAACAUACCCAGGUACAGGAACCAUAGAGAUUCCUAAGCACUAUGAACUCAGACAGACAUAACUAAAAUAGCAGCAGUUACAGGCAACAAGAGAAAAAGUUAAUUUCAAGGGAACCCCUCUAAGGCUAUAAGCUGAUUUCUCUACAGGAACAUUGCAGGCCAGAAAGGACAUGCAAGGUAUGUUCAAAGUUCUGAAAGGGAAAAACCUGCUACUGAAGAUACCCUACCUAGCAAGAGAAUCAUUUAGAAUAGAAGGAGAGAGAAAGAAUUUCUCAUGAAAGAACAAAACCAAUACAGCAAUACCAAACCUAUCCCAAAGGAAAUAUUGCAAGUUCUCUAAAUAGAAAACAAGCUAGACAAUAGAGGAAGGAGAAACUCACAGUUGGGAAGUAAACCACUUAAAUAAGCCAGAGGUAAAAAAAUUUUGUGUGUGAAAGUGAUAACUACAAUGAACAAAAAAAUUAAAAUGGGGAGGGGAGUAAGAGAAUGUAGAUUUUUUUUUUAGAAUGUACUUGAGCCUGUAUAACUACCAGUCUAAAGCAAGUAGAUAUAAAAUGGGUUAAUAUACUUGAAAAACAUGGUAACCACACAUCAAAAACAUGCAAUAGAUUCAUGAAAACUAAGAGAAUAUAAGUAUAAUAUGAAAGAAAACCAUCAAACCACAAAAGGAAACAGAACUAAGGAGAAAUACAAAAUCAACUGGAAAACAAGGUUUACAAUGGCAGUGAUUACAUAUAUCAAUAAUCAUGAUAGAUGUCCAUACACUAAAUGCUCCAAUCAAAAGACACCCAGUGCCAGACUGGAUAAUAAAACACAAGCCCACAAGAUGCUGCCUACAAGAGAACCACUUUAGGGCAAAGGACAUACAUAGACUGAAAGUGAAGGAGAUAGAAAAAGAUUUCAUGCAAACAAAUGAUGAAGCGGGGGAUGCAAAAUAGACUUUUAAACAAAGGCCCAUGGAAUAUGUAUGCUGUGGUACACGGAAAAACUGGCCAACAGGAGCUUGUUCUACCAGCACAGGGAGCUCUAUCCAAUAUUCUGUGAUGAUCUACAUAAGAAAGAGUGAAAAAGAAUGGGUGUGUGUAUAUGAAUAAAUUAAUCAUUUUGUUGUGCAGCAGAAAUUAUAACAUUGUAAAUCAUGAAGAAAGAUAAAGGACACUAUAUAAUAAAGUGAACAAUACAAGACAAGGAUAUUACAUGCAUUUAUAUAUGUACCCAAUAUAAGAGCACCUAAAUAUAUAAAAUUAACAAAAGGAAUGAAUUGAUGGCAAUACAAUAAUAAGCUUUAAAACCCCACUCACGUCAAUGGACAGAUCUUCUAGAGAGAAAAUCAGUAAGACAACAAAGAUCCUAAAUGAUACAUUAGAUGAGUUACCUAAUUGAUAGUUUCAGGACAUUGUAUCAGAAAAAAUUAACUGGAAUACACAUUCUUUUCAAGCGCACAUGAAACAUUCUCUAGGACUGACCACAUACUAAGACACAAAACUGACCUCAGCAAGUUUAAGAGGAAAGAAAUUACUUCAGGCAUCUUUUCUGACCACAACAGUAUGGAAUUAUAAAUUAACCACAAGAAAAGAGAAAAAAAUUGCAUGGAGAUUUAAACAAUAUGCUACUGAAAGUAAAUAGGUCAAUGACGAAAUCAAACAGUAAAUUUUAAAAAUGCCUUGGGACAAGUAAAUGAAAAUAUAACCAUACAAACUCUGUGGGAUGCAGAAAAAGCAGUCCUUAGAGGGAAGUUCCUAGUGAUACAGGCCUUCUUUAAAAAGUAAAAAUCACAAACAACCUAACUCACUAUCUAAUAGAAUUAGGAAAAGAAAAACAACACCUGAAGUCAGCAGAAGGAAGGAAAGCAUGAAGAUGAGAGAGGAAAUAAAGAUUUUUAAAACUUGGGAAAAAAGCAAUAAAACCAAAAGCUUAUGGGCGUUCCCGUUGUGGUGCAGUGGAAAUGAAUCUGACUAGUAUUCUUGAGGAUAUGGGUUCAAUUCCUCCCUCACUCAGUGGGUCAGGGAUCUGGUAUUGCCUUGAGCUACAGGGCAUGGAUUAUAUGUUGCUGUGGCUGUGGUGUAGGCCAGGAGCAAUCCAAACCCUAGCCUGGGAACUUCCAUAUGCUGUGGGUGUGGCCCUAAAAAGAAAAAGGAAAAAAAAAUUAGUUAAUCUGAACAAAUCUACCACUAGAAGUGAAAUAGAAUCUAAUUUUAAACUCCCUGCAAACAAAAGUCCAGGACCAGAAAGCUUCUUUGGGGAAUUCUACCGUGUAUACAAAGAACUUCUUCUAUUGAUCCUUUUCAAACUCUUCCAAAAACUGAAGAAAAAGGAACACUCCCAAAGUCAUUUUAUGAAGCCACAAUCACCCUGAUACCAAAACCAAAGACACUGCCAAAAAAGAAAAUUAUAGGCUAAUAUCUGAUGAAUAUAGAUACAAGAAAAUCUCAACAAAAUAUUAGCCAACUGCAUCCACCAACAUAUACAAAAGGUUAUACGAAGACUAAGUUGGAUUCAUCCCAGGGUCACAAAGAUAGUUCAACAAAUGCAAAUCAAUCAGUAUGCUACACCGCAUCAACAAAUGAAAAGACAAAAAAACAAAUAAUCAUCUCAAUAGAUGCAGAAAAAGCCUAUGAUAAAAUUCAACAUCCAUUCAUGAUAAAACCUCUUACCAAAGUGGACAUAGAACAUUUCAACAUAAUAAAAACUAUUUAUGGAGCUCCUGUCAUGGCUCUCAGAAAAAUACCAAAAAGGGAAAGUACAAAAUAGUAUCUUUAAAAUUUGCAUUAGGAGUUCCCAUCGUGGCUCAGUGGUUAACGAAUCCGACUAGGAACCAUGAGGUUGCAGGUUCGAUCCCUGGCCUUGCUUAGUGGGUUAAGGAUCCGGUGUUGCCAUGAGCUGUGGUGUAGAUUGCAGAUGCGGCUCAGAUCUGGCAUUGCUGUGGCUCUGGCGUAGGCCAGCGGCUCCAGCUCCAAUUCAACCCCUAGCCUGGGAACCUCCAUAUGCCACGGGAACGGCCCAAGAAAAUGGCAAAAAAGACAAAAAAAUAAGUAAAUAAAAUGAAAUUUGCAUUAAAAAAUACUUAGGAAUAAAACUGACCAAGGAGGUGAAACUUAUAUCCUGAGAACUAUAAAACAUUAAUAAAGGGAACUGAAGAUGAUUCAAAGAAAUGGAAAGACAUCUUGCUCUUGAACUGAUAGAGAUAAUAGUGUUUAAAUGACCAUACUGGGGAGUUCCCAUGGUGGCUCAUUGUUAAGGAACCUAACAUCUAUGAUGAUGUGAGUUUGAUCCCUGGCUUCAUGCAGUGAGUUAAGGAUCUGGCGUUGCUGUGGCUGUGGCAUAGGCCGGCGGCUACAGCUCCAAUUUGACCCCGUAGCCUGGGAACUUCCAUAUGCUGUAGGUGCAGCCCUAAAAAGACAAACAUAAGGACUUUACUGGGAUUUCUCACCAUGGUGCAGUGGGUUGAGAAUCUGCAGCAGCUCAGUAACUAUGGAGGUGUGGGUUCCAUCCCUACUUGGCGCAGUGCGUUAAAGCAUCAGGUUUUGUUGCAGCUAUGGCUUAGAUUCGAUCCUGGCCUGGAAACUUCCAUGUCCCACAGGUGUGACCCCCCCUCCACAAAAAAGGCCAUGCCACCCAAAGCAAUCUCCAGAUUUAAUGUGAUCCCCAUCAAAUUACCCAUGACAUUUUUUAUAGAACUAGAAAAAAAAAUCAUAAAAUUUAUGCAGAACCAUAAAAAACCAAGAAUGGCCAAAGCAAUCUUUAGGAAAAAGAACAAAGCAAGUGGCAUACCCCUCUCUGAGUUAACUACAAAGCUAGAAUAGUUAAAACAGUAUGAUACUGGCACACUGGAGUUCCCAUUGAGGCGCAGUGGUUAACGAAUCCAACUGAGAACCAUGAGGUUGUGGGUUUGAUCCCUGCCCUUGCUCAGUGGGUUAAGGAUCCAGCGUUGCCAUGAACUGUGGUGUAGGUUGCAGACACGGCUCGGAUCUGGCAUUGCUGUGGCUCUGGCGUAGGCUGGCAGCUACAGCUCCUAUUAGACCCCUAGCCUGGGAACUUCCAUAUGCUGCGGGAGCGGCCCAAGAAAUGACAAAAAGACAAAAAAAAAAAAAAAAAAAAAAAAAAAA